CAAGUCGAGCGGUAGAGAGAACUUGCUUCUCUUGAGAGCGGCGGACGGGUGAGUAAUGCCUAGGAAUCUGCCUGGUAGUGGGGGAUAACGUUCGGAAACGGACGCUAAUACCGCAUACGUCCUACGGGAGAAAGCAGGGGACCUUCGGGCCUUGCGCUAUCAGAUGAGCCUAGGUCGGAUUAGCUAGUUGGUGAGGUAAUGGCUCACCAAGGCGACGAUCCGUAACUGGUCUGAGAGGAUGAUCAGUCACACUGGAACUGAGACACGGUCCAGACUCCUACGGGAGGCAGCAGUGGGGAAUAUUGGACAAUGGGCGAAAGCCUGAUCCAGCCAUGCCGCGUGUGUGAAGAAGGUCUUCGGAUUGUAAAGCACUUUAAGUUGGGAGGAAGGGCAUUAACCUAAUACGUUAGUGUUUUGACGUUACCGACAGAAUAAGCACCGGCUAACUCUGUGCCAGCAGCCGCGGUAAUACAGAGGGUGCAAGCGUUAAUCGGAAUUACUGGGCGUAAAGCGCCCGUAGUGGUUUGUUAAGUUGGAUGUGAAAUCCCCGGGCUCACCUGGGGAACUGCAUUCAAAACUGACUGACUAAAGUAUGGUAAA
rnacentral:rRNA from 1 species